UCCUACUCGGUUUCAUAAUACUGGAAUGAUCUUGUAUGUGAACUAUAAUAUUUUUCCCGGCAGUUGCUGAGAAUUUUGAAGCCACAAAUGGGCGAUUUCUAGGAGAAUUGUAUGAUGCUGAUAUUGAAAAUAUUAAGACAUUCAAAGAUUAGUUCUGUGCUAAACAGCAUUUUGCUCCUGAUUCAAUCCCUGAUGCUAUUAUCCCAAAAUUAGUGGGAGGUACUACUUGUGAUAUCUUUUCCAUAGUAGGAGCUAUUAUGGCACAGGAUUUCAUACACUAUAACACUGGAGGAAAGCCAAUUAAAAAUUUCUUCUUGUAUGAUGGAGGGGCAGCUGAAGGGAUGGUAACUGAGAUUGGGCGCUGAGCUUGUGAAGGACUUAUGAUUUCCUUAAUUCUUUUGGUAAUUGCAUAUAGUUGGAUUGCUACCUAAAUUCUUUUUGGAUGGUAACUGAGCUUAGGUGUUGAUGAGCUUGUGAAGGACCUACGAGUUCCUUAAUUCUUUUGGUAAUUGUAUAU